AGUAACAUGUUUUUCUUUUGUGGUCCGUUGAUUUUACUUUCCCUGCGGCGAGCCAGGCACUUGGAUGAAGAAGCGUCGUUAAUUGCUGUAUAAGUUUAACAUUAUUUAGGAAUACUUGAAGGAGUGAGUAGUAUAUGCAUCUCCGUUUGUUUGCCUGGUUUGAUUUUGUGUAUUCUCUUAUUUCUGAAGAGGGAGAGAGGUACUAACUGACGCUCCCUUUUGUCCCGCAAUUCGAAAUGUCAAGUGGUACGGUGUUUAGGGUGGUUUCAUCGUUUUCGUAAUUGGCUUACUGGGGCCAAGCCUUGACGAUCUUUUAAGUUCUGUAACAGGAAGCUGUCUCUGAACAUUGUUUUGCUAGUUCGUGGUAAAAAAACAAAAAAAACUGUAUGAUGUACAAUGAAGAUCAAACUCGGUAUGCAUUUUCUUGGGCAAAAUUCACAGAGUUUUUGCUCCAUGGCAUCAUUACUUUGGGUCAACCUUAUCUUUACUGCUCUUGUUCCACUUUUGGGUAAUUUUAACAUACUUUAUUUAUUGGACCGUGGGAGUAAUGUUUGUCGAGAAGGAUAGCAACUUAGCAAGGAUAUGCUUUUUUUACUUUCAGAACUGAAGAUCUGGCUUUCAAGGCAAAAGAAGCCUCUAGACGGAUGUCAAUCUCGCUUCUUAUGUCCUAUUUUUUAAGUAAUUUCUUGUCUGUAUGAUUCUGGAUGGUCUGAUGUGGAUUUUCUUACGGAUUAGAUGUAUUUGUGAUGCUUUAUGUGUACAGGUAAUUACAUGUUCGGGAAACACAAAGUUAGGACAUCAACUUAUAUAAUGGCGUGAACAGGAUUAUUUUUAUUUGAUUGCACAAAUUUAAUAGCACUAUCACGACAUUAUCAGUGUGCUGCAAUUGCAAUUUAAUUUUGGCGUUUUGUUCUGCAUUUCUGUUGCCACUAUAACACUGGACACACCUCCACAUUUCUGUUGCUCUUUUUCCAUUUUUGUGUAAUUUUCCUUAGAUUAGUGCCAUGUGAUGUGAUUUACCUUUUUUUCUGUGUUUUUUCUAUUCUUUAUUCUUACACUUAAUGCAGCAGUUUACCAUUUCCAUGGGAGAUAUGUAGAUACUGAUGGAUGUUGUUCUAAUGUCUUACAUGGAACACCUUCUAUGCCUAUUACAUUUCCAUGCUACAAAUUGCCAUCAUAGGCCCAACCCUUUGCAUAAUCACAUAGGUGCAGUUUUUAGUUUUGUCAAGUUGCAUUCUCUGCUUAGUCCUUAAAAGUUGUUUUUUCCCUCUGAUUUUUGCAGUUCUAACAUGAAACUUGCACCCACAGUUGUACAACCUUAACAAUGCAAAUGUUAAUAGCAAAUUCUGUUCAGUUUCCCGCCUUCCUGAUUUGCCCUUCCAAUAUGCUAAUUUGUAUUCACAGUUGUAAACUUUUGCCCUUCUUGCUCUUUAUCUGAUGUAAAACUUGAAUUGAUAUUUUCGCAGAAAAUAUUUCAGUUUAAAGGCAAUAUGUUGGUUCGGAUGGAUGAACAAGCUGCUCUUCAUCGUGUUGUGAUGGAUGAGCAGUUCCUCUUCAUUGCUCUCUUAGUAAUUAAUGAACGAAAGCUGGCUGCAAAGUAGCGUUAAAUCUCUUAGUUAUUCACCAAUCAACCACCUACUCCAUGCAACUGUUAUGCUCAGAUGACAAUUGGAUUUUUUUUUUAAUAUCAAACCUACUGCUAUUCUAUCUAAUUUGUUAAGUUCUACAUACUAUCCAUGUUCGAAAUUGUGUUGAUAAAAUCAGAUAGCUCAUCCUUGACAGUGCUUUGCCAAUGUCAACAGUAUUACCAUACUAUUAUUUUAGAUCUUAAGUAGCAUAAUUUGAUCACCUUCCAAAGAAUGGACAGGUAAAAUAUUUUAGGAUAUCUUAACCUGACGAGCUGCUUAGAAAUUGAAAUAAACAAAACUUACUUUCACCUUUAUAUAUUUGCAGUACUUUUCUUUUACAAUGUUGAUGCUCUUAUUAUUUAUUCCUCUGAUUGCCUUAAUGAUUUAGUAAUCUAACAGUUAUGGGCCAUUAAAAGAUGCUUAAGGAUUGCUUUGAAGGUUCUACAGAUUUUCUCGCAGAAAUCAAACAAGUUAUAUAAUUGAAAUCCCCGCUCUUUAUGCCAUAGGUUUGCCCUCAUUCCAGAAAUAUUAAUGUUUUGUUAUGUAUAGUGAAUUGAUUCUGUUUAACGAAUGAUGGCUUUUUUUUCUCUUUUGGUGUGCAGUUUCUAUCAUUGUAUUCAAUUUGCUAAACAAUGCUCAUGCUGACAGGUUAUAGCUUUGACUGAUGGUAACUUGAAAUGCUGAUGUGCUGCAGGCUUGCCCACAAUGUUGUAAUGUCCUCCAAUUCAUGUGGCCUAUUUCAUCUAAUUUGCUAAUUCGCUCAUUAUAUGCUCCUAGGUAAUGCUGUUCUGGCAAAUUCUUGAUUGUGCCGCACAUUUUGUCCAAUCAAACAGCUAGGGAAAUAUUAUACAAAAAUUAUGCUUGCACAUACUCAUGUUAUUUGGGUUGAAGUUAACAUGUUAUUUGGGUAAAGUUGUAGACUAGAUUUAAUUGAUACUCUUUGAUCAUACAGCAGUGAUUUUGACAGAUGUUUCUACUAGGGUCUGAGAAAGAACGUGGUUGUCUUGUUACUUACUUGGUCGAAUUCUUGGUGCUGAUUGAUGAAGCUAUGCACUGCAUCAGGAAUUCAGGGCAGUUCACAUCUACUACUUUAGCCUAGAUAUCCUUGUCAAAAAUACUGUGAAUAGUCAAUGCCUUUCCAUUCUACAAUGUUCUAGACAGAGAAAGAAAAAUAGUAGAAUCAUUUCAUGAUUGUGAAGACCGAGUUAUUUUUAACUGGAAGCAAGGAAAAAUGUCAAAAGCAUCCUCGACUAAUUGCUUAUCUUCUUCCCAGAUGUGUUUCUGCAUUCAGGAUGGAUAUCCACGUCACAAGGCAGAUGUGAGGAAAUUAUCCAAAACCACCACUUUCGGGGUCAUGUUUAGCCAGAACCACCACCUUGAAAAUCUAUUACCAUCAACUCUCGGGCAGAUUGUUGCACAAAACCCAUGUAGUCGUAUCACUGGCCGUAACCCCGAUUCUCACGUACCAGGCCCACCUGUCAGGAUAUGUCUGUUGCUAUGACCGUUAGGCCCAUGUCAUCUGACAUGGCGGAGACACAACUCAAAACCACCACUUUUGGGGGACAAUUUACUUGAAACCACCAUUUUGAUAAUUAUUUUGCACAUAACUACCAUGUUAUCAGGCAAGCUUAGCUUCUGUAUAUAACCCAAAUAUCCAGUUUAAAUGCAUCGACAUGAAAUCUGACAGCAUAGGCCCACCUGUGCCGCAUCGAGCAAGAUUCAAUGACGGACAAGCCGGCUGCCUGGGUUCACUAGUGGUUCUUCCGGCUAACAAUAACCCCAAAAUUUGCAUUCUGAGAUAACACAUAAUUUGCACAUGUUAUUUGUUUUUUGACAUGGUGGUAUAGGUGAAGGAGAAGAGACCGGAGGUAGCUAUUGAGAAUGGAGGGAAGAAAGUGGUACUGUUACAUUUGUGGAAAUCGUAGUUUUGAUCGAGUGACUGAAUUGCAAGCGUUAGAUGGACAAAAUAACAUGAUCACGAGGUUUAGUUGAUGGUAAUUGUACUAAGUUUGAGCAUCUGAUGUUGUGUGUCAAGAUGUUGGGAAUGUUAGUGUUGCCCAUCGCAAAAGAUCAACUGUUUUAAUCCGUUCAUUACGUCUAUCUUCAGUGAUCUGUAAUAAAGUGAAGAUCAUUUUUUUUUAUUAAAACCUGAAACUAAUAACUAAGGCGGGAUCGAGCUAUUCAAUUUUUCA